AACGCACAUUGCGCCCGCCAGCAUUCUGGCGGGCAUGCCUGUUCGAGCGUCAUUUCAACCCUCAGGCCCUGCCUGGUGUUGGAGGACUGCGCCCGCAGCCUCCCAAAGACAGCGGCGGCGGCGCCCCAAGACCGAACGCAGUAGUUACCUCUCGUUCUGUGACUGGGUCGUUGUCCGGCCGGAAAACCCCCAUCUUUUUGUGGUUGACCUCGAAUCAGGUAGGAAUACCCGCUGAACUUAA
rnacentral:misc_RNA from 1 species